GACGAACGCUGGCGGCGUGCCUAACACAUGCAAGUCGAACGGGGUUACGUGAGCUUGCUCCUGUAACUUCGUGGCGAACGGGUGAGUAACGCGUGAGGAACCUGCCUUUCAGUGGGGGACAACAGUUGGAAACGACUGCUAAUACCGCAUAAUGUAUCUGGACCGACUGGUCUGGAUACAAAAGCUCUAUUCGCUGAAAGAUGGCCUCGCGUCUGAUUAGAUAGUUGGUGGGGUAACGGCCCACCAAGUCGACGAUCAGUAGCCGGUCUGAGAAGAUUAACGGCCACAUUGGGACUGAGAUACGGCCCAGACUCCUACGGGAGGCAGCAGUGGGGAAUAUUGGGCAAUGGGGGAAACCCUGACCCAGCAACGCCGCGUGAAGGAAGAAGGCCCUCGGGUUGUAAACUUCUUUUAGCAGGGACGAAGGACGUGACGGUACCUGCAGAAAAAGCAACGGCUAACUACGUGCCAGCCGCCGCAGUAAGAC
rnacentral:rRNA from 1 species